CCUUCGGGAGGCAGCAGUCGAGGAUMUUSCACAAUGGGCGAAAGCCUGAYGGAGCGACGCCGCGUGAGGGAWGAAGGCCCUUUGGGUUGUAAACCUCUGUCUAGGGGAGAAGAACAGCGGUGGGGAGCAACAUGCCCUCCGCCUGACGUUAUCCCCWGAGAAAGCWCCGGCCAACUCCGUGCCAGCAGCCGCGGUAAU
rnacentral:rRNA from 1 species